AUGCCUGUUGCUUCCUUAAACAGAUUCAUGGAUCCCUUUCGUGGGGCUGAGUGCAGGUCCCCUCCCAUCCACCAACAAGAUUUCUUUUACGGGAGCAAUAAAAUCCAGACCACUCUGUGCUAUAUUCACAAACUAUCUGCUGCUUUCAUCAGUGUGAUCCAGGUUACUUCCUGUUUGACAGCCACUGACGUGGAUGCAAAAGGCAUUGAGAGCCUGAGGCCUUGGCACCUCUACCAGCCCUGCAAAGCUGAAAGGUGCACCCGCUAAGUGAACCAGAAAUACCAAGGCCAGGUCUAAAUAGACUACCAGAACUCGCUUGGACCAGGAUCUGGAAAAGAAGCAGCAGAAGAGGCACCUAUAUGAGAUCAAUACAAGUUUUAUCGUAAGAAUUUAAAAAUAUGCAUUUGGGUGACAUACACUUCACAGAAAUUAUUCAGCUUUUUCUCUGGAUUUAACAAAUGUUCACUGACUGAGUGAAUUUGGUCACGGGCUGGAUAGAAAGUCUGAGGCUGGACGUGCACUUAAUCAACAAACACAGUACCCAUACUCAAAGCUUGAACCACCUGCUAUCCAAGUCUUUAACUUGGAGGGAAGCAGUAUUUAGGGAGGAUUAUUUGAAGGACAUCUCUUUCUCUCCAAAACCUAUCCUUAAUUUCUUCAUUCAAGGACCUUUAAAACCAUAUCUUCACGGCCCUUCAAAGCAUUGUUUUCACUGAGGUGCAAUUUUCUGUGUUUUUGUCUGCUUAUCUUGUGAAAUGAAAACCACAUUGAGAUUUACUGUAAGAAUUUUGUAGAGGACAUUACACUCUACAUUGCUUAGUAGAUGAAGCCCUGCACAAGAAAAUUCUGUUUGUUCUAGGUUCUAAGAAAAGCUCAGCAUCUCCUCAAAGAAAAUCGGAAUCAUAUAACAGAUUCUGUUUUCCUUUUCACACUGGCCACUAGGAAGCCCAGAGUUAGUUUUGAAGCUCAUCUUUAGCAACUGUUUAGAAUGUUAAUAUUUGUACACCUGCAUUCUAACUCUCUUCUCCAUCUUGAUCAUUUAUUUUAAUUUAUAUUUUUAUCAGAUUUUAGUCUUAGUUAAUGGUUUUUAAGGUUUUUUUUUAUUUUAUUAAAGAUUUUAUUUAUUUAUUCAUGAGAGACAGAGAGAGAGAGAGAGAGAGAGAGAGAGAGAGAGGCAGAGACACAGGCAGAGGGAGAAGCAGGCUCCAUUCAGGGAGCCCGACGUGAGACUCGAUCCCAGGUCUCCAGGAUCACACGCUGGGCUGAAGGCGGCGCUAAACCGCUGAGCCACCCUGGCUGCCCAGUUUUUAGUUUUAGUUUUGGUUUUUGCUACUGUCCAAUUUUGCCACAUGUCUGACACUGGAGAAUGUAAUGGGAUAUAAGUACAUAAUAAACAUCAAGAGUAACCCUGAAGAUAUUGACGACAAAAAUUUGUGGGUGUAGAUGGAGAAAGGUAUGGAGAGGGGAUUAAGUUAGACAGCCAGUAGGCUGAUUGUAUGUAUACCAGUGCCUCAGUCUUCAACAUCACCCAAAGGCAGAAUCGUUAUCUUUUCUACAGGUAACAGAGCAGCUCUUCCCCACCUCCAAAGCCUGGGGCUUCCUAUUUUUCUCUAUCUGAAUGCUGUUGACCUUUCCUAUAACUCUAGGAAAUUCCUGG
rnacentral:lncRNA from 1 species